CGCAAGCCUGACGGAGCAAGACCGCGUGGGGGAGAAAGGCUCUUGGGUUGCAAACCCCUUUUCUCAGGGAAGAAUAAAUGACGGUACUUGAGGAAUCAGCCUCGGCUACCUCCGUGCCAGCAGCCGCGGUAAUACGGAGGAGGCAAGCGUUAUCCGGAAUUAUUGGGCGUAAAGCGUCCGCAGGUGGCGAUUCAAGUCUGCUGUCAAAGCACGGGGCUUAACUCCGUAAAGGCAGUGGAAACUGAAUAGCUAGAGUGCCGUAGGGGUAGAGGGAAUUCCCGGUGUAGCGGUGAAAUGCGUAGAGAUCGGGGAGAACAUCGGUGGCGAAAGCGCUCUACUGGACGGCAACUGACACUCAGGGACGAAAGCUAGGGGAGCG
rnacentral:rRNA from 1 species